CUAGCCUCCACUGUGCCCUUCAUCCACGGUUUCCAAUGGGUGACCUGGAAUUACACUGAGGCCUCACAUGGCACAGGUGGAGUAGGUGGGGCCUUAAAACACCUAGCAUUCCUGAUGUGUCAUAUGGGACCAGCAUUCCUGAUGUGUCAUAUGGGACCAGCAUUCCUGAUGCAGACUGAAUUGUGUCAUAUUGGACCAGCAUUCCUGAUGCAGAGUCGUUGGACGAGCAGCUGAAGAACAAUUCUUCUGUGACUCUGUACCAGGUAUCAGAGGAGAACAUUAAAGCAAGCUCUGAAUUGGUUCCCCCAAACCUGAAAGUAGUUCCUGGGACAAUGAAAAUCCACCAACUGACAUCCACUACACCUGGAGUCAUCAACACAAGGCCAUUGUCAUGCUUUUGUGAGAAAGAUUGUCAGUGCUUUGCACCGUCUUGCCACGCCUUCUCUGAGGGAGGAGAGGAGGAUCCUGACAGCACCGAGGCCCCAUAGAGGUUGGACAGUGGGACAGUGGGUCCUGGGUGAAUAUGAUGGCGAGUUGUUUACGGGGACAGUCAUACAGAUUGCUAGUAUGAAGUGGACACUAUGACUGGUGUAGGGGAAAACCGAUUCCAUGUCACAAGCAUCAGAUUUCCCGGAGAAAUGGUCUGGUACUAUCGUCAGGACAUACGGGACGUAAUCCCAGAACCACUUCCUGCCACUUCCUCUGCUACGCAUUUCUGCAUUAUGCCUGACGUAUGGGAAAAACACAAAAAUGUUGGGGAUGAUUGGCAAAUGCUGUUUCCGUUGUUUGGUCAAUUAAGUUGAUUAUAAAUUGAGUUGCUGCGAUUCA
ensembl:lncRNA